GUGUCAGCAGCCGCGGUAAUACGGAGGGUGCGAGCGUUAUCCGGAUUCACUGGGUUUAAAGGGUGCGUAGGUGGGAAUGUAAGUCAGUGGUGAAAUCUCCGUGCUUAACAUGGAAACUGCCAUUGAUACUAUGUUUCUUGAAUUUUCCGGAGGUUAGCGGAAUAUGUCAUGUAGCGGUGAAAUGCUUAGAUAUGACAUAGAACACCAAUUGCGAAGGCAGCUAACUACAGGGAUAUUGACACUGAGGCACGAAAGCGUGGGGAUCAAACAGGAUUAGAUACCCUCGUAGUCC
rnacentral:rRNA from 1 species